AAUGAUAAGUGUAAAAGAAAUUCAAAGGUGAAUAUCCAUUUUUUCUGCAUUUUGAAGCAUUUUUUGCUUCCCAAUUACUUCCCUUGGAUUACUCUCUAGCGUUUGGAGGUACAAUAUGUAGCCACUUGUAGUGGUAAACAAAUAAUUUGGUGAGAAAACUUAUCAAAGCGGGUCCGGGAUGAGGAUUGGCAGUGUGGAAGAAGGAAAAAAGGCCAAGAUAUAACACAUAAGAAGACAAGAGGAUUCACCAAAGAGGCUGAAAAGGAACAAGAACAUAUACACAUGUAAAUCAUGGCUAUAACGGAAUUCAAAUGAAACCUUGAAGUUAAUUUUGGAAAAGACAAUUUCAGAACUUGGGACAGCUUAUAGAUGCAUUUCUCUUCAAGGUAGAAAAAAGUCAUCUUAAAUAUAUGAGUGGAGAUGCAACAUCAUGAAAUUCAAAGUAAAGUGCAAAGCUGAAUAUCAUAAAAUCUCCAAACAACGGUGAAGCUUUAAAAGUUGGAGAUAUGGCAUUAAUUUUUUUCCUUAGAAAGUACCAUGAUGUCUGUUACUAAUAAUCUAGUUUCCCAAAUGAGGAGCAAUUUAGCUGGCUUGUCAGAUUGAUUUUCCUGAAGAUGAAAUUGGAAAUGAGAAUAUUCAUGUGUGUCUCCAUACUGGAAAUCCUCAAGAUUCAACCAUAUUUCUAAGUGACUCAGUAAGGUCAUUAUUUAAGGACACUCUUAACAGCUCACUAAUGAGCUCUACUUGAAGGACUCAUUUAAUACAGUAAGAGUGAUCUCCCCUUAGAAGUCAGAUAGAAAAAAAUGGUUGCUUACCAUUUAUUUCACAAUUAGGAAUAGAUUAAAAUAUCUUUACUAGCAUAAUCUUAGACAAAGAAUAA